CUCAAAUGGAUGGGACCGCAGCAGAGAGUGGCUCUGCUCCAGCAGGACCGGGCGCUCUGGAGGCCCGCUGCCGCCUCCCCCGGCCUUCAUCCCGGAGCCUUCCUCCUCCUCUUCCUGCUCUGGGAGGUGGCAGCCGCGCUGCUCAGACCUGCCCCAGCGCUGGAGGACGUGGGAUCCCCUGAAGGUCAGAAGAAAGAUUAAAUGCUACAGACAAGCA